UGGUCAGCUCCUUCCUAACAACAGCCA
rnacentral:piRNA from 1 species